ensembl:snoRNA
UCCUUCUGCAUCUACAGAAGUCUGCUGUAAUUGUGCGAUCCAGAUGAUUCUGUUUCACGCAAUCAUGGCAGCAGAUUAAAACGCAGACGGAGAUUAUGGCGCACUGCACCGAAAAUGAGCUGCAGUCGAACCUCUUUCUUAAUGUUCAUUGGCUGCAGUCUCAAGGUGAAGUGCUACAACC